rnacentral:rRNA from 1 species
CUACGGGCUGCUGCAGUGAGGAAUUUUGCGCAAUGGGCGAAAGCCUGACGCAGCAACGCCGCGUGAGUGAUGAAGGCCUUCGGGUCGUAAAGCUCUGUCAAGUGGGAAGAACCUAUGUAAUGUUAAUAUCAUUAUAUACUGACGGUACCACUGAAGGAAGCACCGGCUACUCCGUGCCAGCAGCCGCGGUAAUACGGGGGGUGCAAGCGUUAUUCGGAAUCAUUGGGCGUAAAGGGCACGUAGGCGGCCUGGUAAGUCAGAUGUGAAAGCCCGGGGCUUAACCCCGGAAGUGCAUUUGAGACUGUCAGGCUUGAGUAUGGGAGAGGGAAGUGGAAUUCCUGGUGUAGAGGUGAAAUUCGUAGAUAUCAGGAGGAACACCGGUGGCGAAGGCGACUUCCUGGACCAAUACUGACGCUGAGGUGCGAAGGCGUGGGUAGCAAACAGGAUUAGAUACCCCCGUAGUC